CGGGGCUGGGGGCGGGGCUGGCGGGCCGUUCGAACGGCGCUGCCGCUGCUGGUGGCGCUCGGGCCGGGCUGCGGGCGUGUGCCCCCGGGCAGCCCAACACAACACAGCCCGGCCCGGCCCGGCCUGGCCUGGCCUCCCUCCUCUCCAGAGUGCCCGAGGGGCUGGCAAGGCUUCCUUCCCGGGGGAACAGGCCGCGCUGCUGCCGCCGGCUCCUCCGCCGCCGCUCCGCGACAGACAAUGGACGAGCAGGGUCCUGGGGAAACGUGGCCCCGCCACACUACGAAGCAGUGCCCUUGCCUGGCUCAGCGCCCAGUGCCAACAGAACACCUUGCAGGAUCCUCAGCAGCGCAGACAACGUAAGUAGCCAGCUGUCCCUUGAUGCCCUUGUCCAGAAGCCCCCGCGCCCUGCGGACCCCGUGGAGCGCCCGCACGCCUCCUUCCCUCGCUCGCCCUCCAAGUGCCACCUGGGCUUCACAAGUAGCACCUUCCAAAUCUCUCUGUCUUCAAGUUUGUGCAUGUCUGUGUGGCAUCCCUCCUCCUCCUUCACUCCCAUAGUGGAUCUCGUGAAGGGCUUCAGAUCGGCCCCAUUCAUCUCCCUGGUGAUAGCAGUGAAUGUAGAUAAAUCUCUGCUGCCUGCUUGCUGCUCCAGUAUGAUUUUUAUUUUGUCUUCCGUGUACACCUAGGUCAAAAAGUGGGAUGUAUACUGACGGUGGGUGAGAGUGUGUGUGCGUGUCUCCUCCUCAGUCCCUGUCGUUCUCUCGCACUGAGGCACACAAACACACAUCUCCCCGCGUGUGUUACACGCGUGCACACACAUAAACACCCGCACACGCACGCGCGCGUGUGUGCAUGGAGCACACACACAUCUCCUCACCCCACUGACACAGCUCCUGUGCACCGACCCCAGGCGGUGUGUGCUGUGUGUCUGUACGCACUGUUCCGUGUGCGUGUGCAUACACAGGCAUCUCGCUACACCGUCAAACAUUCCCUCUCCUCCCAGCAGAGGCUGUGUGCAGGCUGAUCCUGCCCUGUGAGAGCGGUAUUCCUUCCUCCCUUCCUUCCCUCGGCUCUUCGGAGACCUUCAUGUUCCCUCCUCGGGGUCCCUCCUGAGCUGCAGAUUUGGCACCCUUCCCUGAGGUUGUCCAAAUGGCAUCAGCCGGAGUUCGCAUUCUUGCAGCUUCUCUGGGCAUUUCUCCCUCCAUGUCGACUACUCCCUUUUGUUUGUUGUUGACUGGGCUGGGUGUGGUUGGGGUUUUUUUGGCAUUAAUUGUAAAAGAACCUGAAUGGCAAAACACACCAACAGCUUGCGGGAAAAAAAAAGCCAAAAAAAAAAAGCAAGCCCCACACAAACGCCUUCUGCUGCGACAGAUGCCCAUGUUGCCCCUGGCAUGGAGAGCGGGCACAAGGGGUUUGUUGAUGAGGUUUUUUCGAUUGCUGUGUUUAUUGUUCGCAUUUCCCUUUUCCAUUUAUUUUUAAAGACUCCAAGAUGCCGGCCUCGGCUUGGAACGGAGCGGUGUCAUGGCGGAGACGACGGCCUUUGUCUCGCAGGGUGUGAAAGCAUCCGUUGUGCUGGCUCCACUGCGGCAGAAUGAUGUCUAAAGGGGGGAAAAGUGCUGGAAGUCCGAGGUGCGCGGCGCUGGCGGGGGAGCCCCAUCCCCAUGGUGCGCGUCCGAGGAAGGGCUC
rnacentral:lncRNA from 1 species